UACAGAGACCUCAAGCAUUAUCCGGAUUUAUUGGGCGUAAAGGGUCCGCAGGUGGCUCGGCACGUCAUUGGUUAAAUCUAAGGGCUCAACCCUUAAACCGCCAAUGAUACGGCCAAGCUAGAGAGUGGGAGAGGCGAGUGGAAUUACCGGUGUAGUAGUAAAAUGCGUUAAUAUCGGUAAGAACACCAAAUGCGAAGGCAGCUCGCUGGAACACUUCUGACACUCAGGGACGAAAGCGUGGGGAGCGAAAGGG
rnacentral:rRNA from 1 species